rnacentral:rRNA from 1 species
GNANAGCUUAUUUGACUCAACACGGGGAAACUCACCAGGUCCAGACACAAUAAGGAUUGACAGAUUGAGAGCUCUUUCUUGAUUUUGUGGGUGGUGGUGCAUGGCCGUUCUUAGUUGGUGGAGUGAUUUGUCUGCUUAAUUGCGAUAACGAACGAGACCUUAACCUGCUAAAUAGCCAGGCCCGCUUUGGCGGGUCGCCGGCUUCUUAGAGGGACUAUCGGCUCAAGCCGAUGGAAGUUUGAGGC